UACAGAGGGGGCGAGCGUUAUUCGGAAUUAUUGGGCGUAAAGGGCGCGUAGGCGGCUAAGUAAGUCUCGGGUGAAAUCCCUCGGCUCAACCGAGGAACUGCCUUGGAAACUGCUUGGCUUGAGGCCGGGAGAGGAUGGUGGAAUUCCCAGUGUAGCGGUGGAAUGCGUAGAUAUCGGGAAGAAUACCGGUGGCGAAGGCGGUCCGCUGGGCCGUUGCUGACGCUGAGGCGCGACAGCGUGGGGAGCAAACAGG
rnacentral:rRNA from 1 species